CAGUAGCCGCGGUAAUACGAAGGGGGCCAGCGUUGUUCGGAUUUACUGGGCGUAAAGGGCGCGUAGGCGGACUGAUAAGUCAGGGGUGAAAUCCCAAGGCUCAACCUUGGAACUGCCUUUGAUACUGUUUGUCUUGAGUUCGAGAGAGGUAAGUGGAACUGCGAGUGUAGAGGUGAAAUUCGUAGAUAUUCGCAAGAACACCAGUGGCGAAGGCGGCUUACUGGCUCGAAACUGACGCUGAGGCGCGAAAGCGUGGGGAGCAAACAGGAUUAGAUACCCCCGUAGUCCCUGUCUCUUAUAC
rnacentral:rRNA from 1 species